rnacentral:rRNA from 1 species
CAAUAAGCGGAGGAAAAGAAACCAACAGGGAUUGCCUUAGUAACGGCGAGUGAAGCGGCAAUAGCUCAAAUUUGAAAUCUGGCGCUUUUGGGCGUCCGAGUUGUAAUUUGUAGAGGAUGUUUCGGUAUUAGCUCUAAUUUAAGUCCCUUGGAACAGGGUGUCAUAGAGGGUGAGAGUCCCGUAUGUAAUUAGUUGCUUUUGCCAUGUGAAACUCCUUCGACGAGUCGAGUUGUUUGGGAAUGCAGCUCUAAUUGGGAGGUAAAUUUCUUCUAAAGCUAAAUACUGGCCAGAGACCGAUAGCGCACAAGUAGAGUGAUCGAAAGAUGAAAAGCACUUUGGAAAGAGAGUUAAAAAGUACGUGAAAUUGUUGAAAGGGAAGCGCUUGCAAUUAGACCUGCUUGUAGUUGUUCAUCUAAGCUUUUAGCCUAGUGCAUUUUUCUACAAGUCAGGCCAGUAUCGGUUUAGGCGGUUGGAUAAAGAAUUCAGGAAUGUAGCUUCUUUUGGGGAGUGUUAUAGCCUGUUUUGUAAUGCAACCAGCUUAGAUCGAGGACCGCGCUUCGGCAAGGAUACUGGCGUAAUAGUUGUAAGCGGCCCGUCUUGAAACACGGACCAAGGAGUCUAACAUCUGUGCGAGUGUUUGGGUGUUAAACCCAUGCGCGUAAUGAAAGUGAACGGAGGCGGGAACCUUUUAGGUGCACCGUCGACCGAUCCUGAUGUCUUCGGAUGGAUUUGAGUAAGAGCAUAGCUGUUGGGACCCGAAAGAUGGUGAACUAUGCUUGAAUAGGGUGAAGCCAGAGGAAACUCUGGUGGAGGCUCGCAGCGGUUCUGACGUGCAAAUCGAUCGUCAAAUUUGGGCAUAGGGGCGAAAGACUAAUCGAACUAUCUAGUAGCUGGUUCCUGCCGAAGUUUCCCUCAGGAUAGCAGUAACGUUUUUAGUUUUAUGAGGUAAAGCGAAUGAUUAGAGGCCUGGGGGUUGAAACAACCUUCACCUAUUCUCAAACUUUAAAUAUGUAAGAAGUCCUUGUUACUUUGUUGAACGUGGACAUUUGAAUGUACCGUUACUAGUGGGCCAUUUUUGGUAAGCAGAACUGGCGAUGCGGGAUGAACCGAACGCGGAGUUAAGGUGCCGGAAUGCACGCUCAUCAGACACCACAAAAGGUGUUAGUUCAUCUAGACAGCAGGACGGUGGCCAUGGAAGUCGGAAUCCGCUAAGGAGUGUGUAACAACUCACCUGCCGAAUGAACUAGCCCUGAAAAUGGAUGGCGCUUAAGCGUGCUACCUAUACUCCGCCGCUGGGGUAAGAUUUAUACCCCAGCGAGUAGGCAGGCGUGGAGGCCUGUGACGAAGCCUUGGGGGUGACCCCGGGUUGAACGGCCUC